rnacentral:lncRNA from 1 species
CGGGCACGGGUCGGCCGCAAUCCAGCCUGGGCGGAGCCGGAGUUGCGAGCCGCUGCCUAGAGGCCGAGGAGCUCACAGCUAUGGGCUGGAGGCCCCGGAGAGCUCGGGGGACCCCGUUGCUGCUGCUGCUACUACUGCUGCUGCUCUGGCCAGUGCCAGGCGCCGGGGUGCUUCAAGACAUAUCCCUGGGCAGCCAGUCACCCCGCACUGGGUCCUGGAUGGA